UUACGCGGGUAACAGGCGGCAGUUAUAUUUCUUCCCCGAAAACGAAAUACGGCGGCUUUUGUCUCUCAAACUCUGAUUAAGAAAAGAAAAGGUAGAAAACCCUAAAACGACUGAAACGGCGACGUUUUGAGGCGACGGUGGACUUUUUCUGCUUGAAUUUUCCAGGUGAUUUUGAAGUGGGAAAUGCGAGGGUUUUUGAAAUGCUUGAUGUUAUAGAGUAGGGUUUUUUGAAUUGGGUUUAGGGUAAAAUGGAGGUGGUGGAAGAUUGUGGGGCUAGUGAGGUAGAAAAUAGGAGGAGGAGAGUUGAAGAGAGGUGUGAGGAGUUAGAGUUGGAGAUUGUGAAGAGAAAGAGUGAGUAUGAAGAUCUUGAGAUUAAGUUUCGGGCUUUGGAAGGCGAAAAGCUUGCGAUGGAAGAAGAGAUUAGGGCAUUGAAGAGAGGAAGUGAUGAAAUUAGGAAGCAAGCUAAUGGGGGUGGAGAUGGGACGGAGAUAAUAGUUGAUUUUAAUGAGGAUAGCUUGGAGGGAGAUGGGGUCUUUCAGCUUAUGCUUGAGAACAAGGUGUUGGAGUGUGAGAAGAAAACUGCUGAAAGUGAGGUUGAGGCUUGGAAGCAGAAGUUCAAAGAAUUGAAGACGUGGGUCUUGAAGUUGGACAAGGAUUUAGUCUUGAAAGGUGGGGAGUUUCCGUGGAACUUAACUGGGGAUUCCGUUGAAGCAAGCAGGAGAACACAACCGAAUGAAAGGAUUGAACUUGAGGAUGGGUUGAAUGUUGGAGUUGGCAUGGAAAGUUCAAGGAGCAAAGAUAUAGCUGUGAAUGUUAUUGAUCUUAGCUCUACAUAUCACUCCCCUGGUAAAGAGAUCUGCCAUCUGCAAGAAGCAGGUACACCUCCUAAUGUUACACUUCAUGAGCAUCGCAGUGGUACCAAGGAAGAAGAGAGAUCUGGUAUGGAAUAUGGUAACGUUAGUCGAGCAAGAAAACAGCUGGAAUUCAAGGAAGAUAGGAGUCCUUGCAAGAAGAUGGCUCCACCUACGCCAGGUGGUGGCAGACCUUUCUCUCUCAGUGUCAUUGAUAUUAGUGACAGCGAUGAUGAAGUUACAAUUGCCGAUAACCAAAAAGUUUUGCCUACUGAGAAUCAGGGAAGCAGAAAGAUUUGCAUAUCAUCAGAUUCUGUAAUAGGAGGUCUGGCUACCAAAAGCUUUUUAAAGCAGGCACAUACUGACGGUCAUGAUCAGGAAGAUCUCGAUAAUUACAAUGAGGAAUUACUGGCUUUCUCAACACCCAAAAGAAAACGAGCUUCUAAUGUUGUGACCAGUGACUCUGAGAGUAGUGAUGAUAAUAUUCCUAUCAAUGCAGUCAAGAGAAUGGAUCUUCAGAAAAGAAUACAUGAUCAUUCUGAGAGUAGUGAUGAUAAUGUUCCUAUCAAUUCGGUCAAGAGAAUGCAUCGUCAGAAAAGAAUACACAAUCAAGUAGGAUCUGAUGUGAAUGCCAGCUUAGAGACUGCUACUACUUCUGUGGUUGAUGAUGUUAGUGUUACCUCUCCAAAGCGACAUUUAGUUAGGUUAAGAAAAGGUGGGGGAAGAGGUCGGGCGCAAAGGAAUUCAAGUCAGACAAGUGAAACUAAAAAUGAUCGAGGACCAAACAAGGGUGUUGAAGAAGAUGAGCCCGAAGAGGUUGGGUCAGAAAGUGAAGGUGAAAGCUUGGGUGGGUUUAUUGUACACAGCUCUGAUGUUUCAGAAAGUAAUGAUGCUUCUAGUGAGUCAAAUAGUGUGUCAGAUGAUGAUGUGAACUUAGAGGAGGUUCUAUCAACAUUUCAAAGGAACAAAGAUCACAACACAAGGUGGGAGUAUGAGGCAGACAUGCUUUCUGCAUUUGCUAAGGAUCCAGAGCUGUGCAUGAAAGCUGUAUGUGCUCUUUAUAGACAGCAAACUUCUGAGGAAAAAAUGUAUAGGGAGGCUUUAUGCUCCAAUUCUCGAGGCUUUAGCAAGUUUGAUGCUUCUAGGGGUUCUAAAUUGGCUAGCUUUCUCACUGAUGGAGACCCAUAUUGUGAUCUGAGAAAAACCGUAGAGGAGUUGGAGGAGCAUGACCCCAAGGCCCUUGAAACAUGUAGAACAUUUGCGACUCGUUACUCUAAGCAACUGUUUGAGAUCUACAAAAACAAAGAGGAUCCUCUCUUUCUGCCAUCUUGACUGUGCAAGCAACUUGCCGACGUAAUGAUAUGCAUGUAUAACCCACAACCUCUGCCGGAAAGUCCUAUCAGAGAUGAGGGAAGGGUUUCCAUUUUGGUUGCCAAGUGUGCCUCUUCUUGGUUUCAGAUAUGUUUAAACAUGCAACAAAAAUAGAUCUUAUUGAUCUCCAGGAGUUCAAUCUAUACGAAAUGAUGAGUUUGCUUGGAUAAAAGUCAUCGGGAUGGACCGCCUUCUAGUUGUCGGAAAUGUGCAGCAGAAUUUGCCGUGGGAGCUUUUCUUUGGCCUCCUUCAUGCUCACUAAAAGAUGACCUUUUCUAUAAAUGUUAUGCUGAUAUUAUUGGGGAUUUCAGGACCCCAUAUAUCAACUCUGUCAAGCUUUGAUUAUUGUUGCUGCUAUAAAUAAACACCUUGCAUUUGCUUCUAAAAGAGAGGUGGUUUGUGAACAAGAACAGAACACUGCCCACUCCAACUCAUAAUUUAGAAGAAUCAUCAUCUUCCAGAACCACAAUAAGAGAAUCCAUGCUGGCAAUAACUGGCAAUCAAGCACCGACCAAAUAAGACAGAACAUGAAAACCCAUUUUUGUAAUAAACUGAAAAAUUAAAAUUAAAAACAAUAAAUUUGAAGGGUUACAUGGAUUUAUGAGUCCCUAAACAUGCGGGUUAACCCUACAUGGUUAACCACCAUUUCUGGCACUAUAAAAGCUUAGGGGUUUUCAUCCUCAACCCCCUCAUCCUUUCGACCUCUAAAAAUCAAAAGCCAUUCGUCUCUGAAUUGUUAAACUUCUUCCUCUCUCCCGCUCUACGUUACGUGCUCUUCUUGUUUUCAAGAAGAGAGCUUCUAACGUAACAAGGAGAGAGGAAGGGACAAAAAUGGCUGUUAAUGCUGCACCAUUUAACGGAAUGGUUGGCGUCAUUGCACUCAUUUUCGCCGUCAUUUUGCCCAUGAUUCAUGCAGCUGGCCUGGCUCCGGCUCCGGCUCCGGCUCUGGCUCCGACAAGCGAUGGCACGGCAAUUGACCAAGGGAUAGCAUACAUUCUAAUGCUGCUGGCGUUGGUUCUCACAUACCUGAUCCACUGAACCAUCCAUCUGAUCGAUGAUUCAAGUUAUAUAUUAAAGCAAGAACAGGCAUAUAACUGGGUUCUUAGGGUGGUUGUGAUGUAAUGGGGUUGUAAAUUCGUUUGGAUUGGGUGUAUGCUAGAGAGAAAUUCUUUAUUUUGGGCAGGAAGUUUCAGAUUGAAUAAAUCAAAGUAUUGAAUUGGUUCUCCA